GAUGAACGCUAGCGACAGGCCUAACACAUGCAAGUCGAGGGGCAGCGGGGAGGUAGCAAUACCUUUGCCGGCGACCGGCGCACGGGUGAGUAACACGUAUGCAAUCCACCUGUAACAGGGGGAUAACCCGGAGAAAUCCGGACUAAUACCCCAUAAUAUGGGCGCUCCGCAUGGAGAGCCCAUUAAAGAGAGCAAUUUUGGUUACAGACGAGCAUGCGCUCCAUUAGCCAGUUGGCGGGGUAACGGCCCACCAAGGCGACGAUGGAUAGGGGUUCUGAGAGGAAGGUCCCCCACAUUGGAACUGAGACACGGUCCAAACUCCUACGGGAGGCAGCAGUGAGGAAUAUUGGUCAAUGGUCGGCAGACUGAACCAGCCAAGUCGCGUGAGGGAAGACGGCCCUACGGGGUUGUAAACCUCUUUUUGCGGAGAGUAAAGUGCGCUACGCGUAGCGUAUUGCAAGUAUCCGAAGAAAAAGCAUCGGCUAACUCCGUGCCAGCAGCCG
rnacentral:rRNA from 1 species